rnacentral:rRNA from 1 species
UACGUAGGGUGCGAGCGUUAAUCGGAAUUACUGGCGUAAAGCGUGCGCAGGCGGUUUGUUAAGACCGAUGUGAAAUCCCCGGCUCAACCUGGGAACUGCAUUGGUGACUGGCAAGCUAGAGUAUGGCAGAGGGGGUAGAAUUCCACGUGUAGCAGUGAAAUGCGUAGAGAUGUGGAGGAAUACCGAUGCGAAGCAGCCCCCUGGGCCAAUUACUGACGCUCAUGCACGAAAGCGUGGGGAGCAAACAGGA